AGCCUCCACCACCCCCACUGAUACAUGAGGAAAUCAACAGAGAGAAGAUCCUAGAACUUACCAACAAGAUGAUUGAGCUGUUGACUGGAGAGGUUCCUAUAAGAUGUCAUGAUGUCACAAUCCAUUUUUCCAUGGAGGAGUGGGAGUAUUUAGAAGGACACAAAUAUCUGUACAAGGACAUCAUGAUGGAGGAUCACCGACCCCUCACACCACCAGUUAAGGAAGACAGAACACCAGAGAGAUGUCCCAGUCCUCUU